UACAGAGGGUGCAAGCGUUUGUUCGGAAUUAUUGGGCGUAAAGAGCUCGUAGGCGGUCUGUCGCGUCUGCUGUGAAAGUCCGGGGCUCAACUCCGGAUCUGCGGUGGGUACGGGCAGACUAGAGUGAUGUAGGGGAGACUGGAAUUCCUGGUGUAGCGGUGAAAUGCGCAGAUAUCAGGAGGAACACCGAUGGCGAAGGCAGGUCUCUGGGCAUUAACUGACGCUGAGGAGCGAAAGCAUGGGGAGCGAACAGG
rnacentral:rRNA from 1 species